UCUGCUGAUGGAGCUGCAGCACUCGCCAUGAGAAGGUUAGAGACUGGAAGUGCCGGCUCCUGCCAGCACACAGUGAUUUGCAAGUGAAUGCGAGGGAGGGAGCAUCCGAGAGGAGGGCUGCGCAUGAAAGGCGUCCCCUCCCCCGCAGGGCAGAAAGACUCUCUGUUUCCAGCCUAAGAACAGACCGUCCAAACCCAAGUAUUAGCGGAGCGCCAAGCAAAUGGCCAUCAGACCAGAUUCACAGGACUAACUCUUGGAUUAAUGGACUGCUGUCAUGUUUGAAAUUUCUUCAUGCUUCUGAACCAGGUACUUUAUAUUUUCUUCCGGUUUUGCAACCAUGGUUUUGUAUUCUAUCGCUUUAUCGACUGUUGGGCAGUGCUGCUGCACUGAGGAGGUACCCAUGGAUUGAAAGGGUCCCUUCACAGGUGAACAUUUGGCGAGUAAUCAAUGUUGACAUUUAACAGACAAACACAUUGAUAAACCUGUUAGUCAUCAGUAAACAAGGACAAUGAAGUGCACUUGACUCCUAUUAUGUGGAAGCCAGGUCCCAGCAGCAAUUUUUAAUGUCAAAAAGCUGAACAAGGCCUAUGUGAAAUUUUUGGUAAAAUUUUAUUGUCCAGUAUAUUGGUUUUCGUUCUUUAAGUAUAUAUUGAACAGUUCAGUGGGACAAAGAUAUUGCUUUGCACUGGGUAGAGCAGUGAUAAUCAAUGGAUUACCUAACUUUCAGUUUCACAGAACUCAGACUCUAGUAGAGUAAAGCACAUUCAAUUAUGCAAAUGAUUUUAAUACAACCCAUUGAGAUAAGUGCUGGAAAGGCUGGAACUUGGUUCUACUGUAACUUUUAAAGGAUCUAGACCUACUGUGCACAAAGAUGAAUAGUAUGAUGGUA